GCUUCUGUAGCUCAGUUGUGGUAGCAUCCCUCUCAUACCGUGCUGUGUGACAGGGGAAGGUCGUGAGUUCGAGCCUCACCAGGAGCA
rfam:Schizosaccharomyces japonicus yFS275 unplaced genomic scaffold supercont5.2, whole genome shotgun sequence.